AUUUAAAUACUAGAAAGAUUUGUGCCACCAGAAAAUAAAAUAACCAAGUGUCAGACAAAACAAAGAAAAAAGUUUAAAAAAAUCUGACUUAAUAUAAAAUAUAUUUAAUAUAAUGUUAUUAACAAAAGUAUUAGUAUUAAUUAUUACUAAAAGUAGUUAAGAGUAAAACCUCCAAAUAAUAAUCACAUCAAAAUAUUGAAUUGUUCAAGCAAUACCUUUUGACACCAUUAUAUUAUUCAUGAACAAUAUAAUACAGAACUAUUUUAUACUAUUAUAUAAUGUAUAAGUAUUAAUAAAUAUAUCAUAAUUUAUCUUCAGAAGUGUAUCAUUUUAAAUGUGCUUUAAUAAAAAAAAAAAAAAAUUCCUAUUCAAAUACUUACAAGUAAUAAUAUUUCUAUUCCUCUACUGGGUAAGCAGUGAACCUAGAGGCAAUUUUAAUGUUUUCUAUCAAUUGACAAGUCAAGUGUUUACAUCUUAUUAAUUCACCUUGGGUACACCAUAAGAUUGAAGACUAAGACCUGUUCCUAAAAUGUAUGGUUAGGUUAUGUGUUGGUUAGCGCUAACCGGCAGUUAUACUAAAAUUUAACAGACAGUUGGUUCUUACAUAGAUCAGUCACAGAAAAAAUCACUGGUUACCAGAGGUUUUACAGUCAGAUUUUUAACUGAUGGAAUUCUGCCGGUUAUCAUCCACUAAGCUAAAAUCUCAUAGUAAGAACGGCCCUAAUUGGCAAAAAAAGGUUUGAACGAUAAACAUGCAACUGGUUUUUGAUAUGAAUAGUACAGAUAUACAUAUAUUAUAAGAGUAUAAAUUGUAUUUUAACAGCUCAAUUUAAACCAGCCUAUAAGAACAGCAUAUUCAGACACAAGAUUCAAAAUAUGUGAAUGGUAUGACGGUUUGUUGACAAACCACUGUAUACAGACAUUGGCGAUAGGGAUAAAAAAAACAAUUAUGUGGCUCACUUCAAUUAAAAAUGUAUGUUAACUGUAGUAUAAACACCAUAGAACGGAUUAACAGAACACUAUUAGACGUCAUUAUUCCACUACACAACAAUCCUCCGCAAUUCUCCCCUUACUCAAACUUAGAGUAAAAUAUCUUAUCAAUGGGCUGAAGGAUAUCUAAUAUUUGAACAUCAAUAUUUAUUUAACUAAUACUAUUCUAUUUAUAGAUUUUUUAAUAUAGGUUUGUAUUUGAAAAUCAAUAGAAGGGAAUACUUUCAUCCCAAAAAAUAAACAUGACAAUAAUGGAAAUUGAAUAUUUUAGAGCUGUUUGUUUCUUAAAUUGU